GACUCGUGGCGGAAAGCUCAGUAACACGUGGUCGAACUACCCUGUGGACCGGCAUAACCUCGGGAAACUGAGGAUAAUACUGGAUACAGCUCCCUGGCUUGAAUGCGGGGAGCUGGAAACGCUCCGGCGCCACAGGAUGUGACUGCGGCCGAUUAGGUAGACGGUGGGGUAACGGCCCACCGUGCCGAUAAUCGGUACGGGUUGUGAGAGCAAGAGCCCGGAGACGGUAUCUGAGACAAGAUACCGGGCCCUACGGGGCGCAGCAGGCGCGAAACCUUUACACUGCACGACAGUGCGAUAGGGGGACUCCGAGUGCGAGGGCAUAUAGUCCUCGCUUUUCUGGAUCGUAAGGAGAUCCAGGAACAAGUGCUGGGCAAGACCGGUGCCAGCCGCCGCGGUAAUACCGGCAGCACGAGUGAUGGCCGCUCUUAUUGGGCCUAAAGCGUCCGUAGCCGGCCCGACAAGUCCGUUGGGAAAUCCACGCGCUCAACGCGUGGGCGUCCAGCGGAAACUGUCGGGCUUGGGACCGGAAGAUCCAGAGGGUACGUCCGGGGUAGGAGUGAAAUCCUGUAAUCCUGGACGGACCACCGGUGGCGAAAGCGCUCUGGAAGGACGGAUCCGACGGUGAGGGACGAAAGCUAGGGUCUCGAACCGGAUUAGAUACCCGGGUAGUCCUAGCCGUAAAC
rnacentral:rRNA from 1 species